GCCCUAGUGGUCAAGGGGUAUGACGCCGGACUAGCCAUCUGGAGGUCGGGAGUUCGAUCCUCCCCGGGGCA